AGAGUUUGAUCAUGGCUCAGGAUAAACGCUGGCGGCGUGCCUAACACAUGCAAGUCGAACGCCCUUGCGCAAGCAAGGGAGUGGCGGACGGGUGAGGAACACGUGGGUCAUCUACCUUGAGGUGAGGAAUACCACCGGGAAACCGGUGACAAUACCGCAUACGUUUCUUUCGAGAAACAAAGCUUCGCAAGAGGCGCCAC
rnacentral:rRNA from 1 species